rnacentral:rRNA from 1 species
UCUUUCGGGAUCUUGAGAGCGGCGUACGGGUGCGGAACACGUGUGCAACCUGCCUUUAUCAGGGGGAUAGCCUUUCGAAAGGAAGAUUAAUACCCCAUAAUAUAUUGAAUGGCAUCAUUUGAUAUUGAAAACUCCGGUGGAUAGAGAUGGGCACGCGCAAGAUUAGAUAGUUGGUAGGGUAACGGCCUACCAAGUCAGUGAUCUUUAGGGGGCCUGAGAGGGUGAUCCCCCACACUGGUACUGAGACACGGACCAGACUCCUACGGGAGGCAGCAGUGAGGAAUAUUGGACAAUGGGUGAGAGCCUGAUCCAGCCAUCCCGCGUGAAGGACGACGGCCCUAUGGGUUGUAAACUUCUUUUGUAUAGGGAUAAACCUUUCCACGUGUGGAAAGCUGAAGGUACUAUACGAAUAAGCACCGGCUAACUCCGUGCCAGCAGCCGCGGUAAUACGGAGGGUGCAAGCGUUAUCCGGAUUUAUUGGGUUUAAAGGGUCCGUAGGCGGAUCUGUAAGUCAGUGGUGAAAUCUCAUAGCUUAACUAUGAAACUGCCAUUGAUACUGCAGGUCUUGAGUAAAGUAGAAGUGGCUGGAAUAAGUAGUGUAGCGGUGAAAUGCAUAGAUAUUACUUAGAACACCAAUUGCGAAGGCAGGUCACUAUGUUUUAACUGACGCUGAUGG